rnacentral:rRNA from 1 species
CCUACGGGAGACAGCAGUGAGGAAUAUUGGUCAAUGGGCGGAAGCCUGAACCAGCCAAGUCGCGUGAGGGAUUAAGGCCCUGCGGGUCGUAAACUUCUUUUGUCAGGGAGCAAUUGGGUCCACGCGUGGGCUUAUCGAGAGUACCUGAAGAAAAAGCAUCGCUUAACCCCUUGCCAGCAGCCGCGGUAAUACGGAGGAUGCGAGCGUUAUCCGGAUUUAUUGGGUUUAAAGGGUGCGUGGGCGGAAUAUCAAGUCAGCGGUAAAAAUUCGGGGCUCAACCCCGUCGUGCCGUUGAAACUGAUGUUCUUGAGUGGGCGAGAAGUAUGCGGAAUGCGUGGUGUAGCGGUGAAAUGCAUAGAUAUCACGCAGAACUCCGAUUGCGAAGGCAGCAUACCGGCGCCCAACUGACGCUGAAGCACGAAAGCGUGGGUAUCGAACAGGAUUAGAUACCCCAGUAGUC